UUGGAGUGAUCCGUGGGUCUCCAGGAGUUGUGUAAAAAACCGCACUUUUCUUCAAUCGUUUGGAGUGGUUUGUGUACUGUUCUCUCUCUCUUUUUUCUGAGUCACUUGGAGUGAUCCGUGGGUCUCUAGGAGUUGUGUAAAAAACCGCACUUUUCUUUAACCACGUUUUCAUAAAUCCAGUCAUUAUAGAAGUUUUUAAAUUUCAUGACAUUCAGAGGAAUGUAAUCUCCCUCUCUUUUUUCUUUUCUUUUUUUUUUUUCAGAAACAGCGUAUGUGUCAGAUACUUUUGACCUGUUAUAUAAAAGAUCAGUGCAGGACCGAAAUGAAUCUUUUUCCGCGUACAGAAUCCAGAAAGGAAAUAUCACCAUCAUCGCUCUUGGAAAAGAACAAGAGAAUAAAAACGGUUCAUGUGUCAUUGACUCUGCUCUACUGGAAGAGUGCAAACAGCGUUUCGCUCUACGCUACUAUAACAAAACGUAUGUAGCCUUUCGUAUUAAAAACGUGACGCUACAUGAUGCUGGGCGUUACCUACUUGAAGCAUUUUUCUUGGGGAUGAUUGAUCCAGAAUACGCUGACAUCAAGUUAUCUGUGCAAGAAAAACCAGUUACCACUACCUCAGAACCAGGUACUACCACGCGAUUCCAUGAAAUAUCAGAACCCAAAGCAAAAGGUGGCCAAUCAGACAUCCAAUUUUCUGCCACUUUGCUGCUCGCUUUGAUGAUGGUAUUUCAAAUAGGAUGGUCACUUAUUAAUACAUUUUAACUCCUAUUAAACUGUCACCCUCAGAGAAAUGAAUAGUUGCCACGUAAAGGGACUGGCCGCUUAAUUGCCGCUUUUCAUAUGACGUCAUCAUUUUCCAAACUAAGAAAUUACCAAUCCUUCUGAAGUUUAAGUUUCAUCAGACGUAAGGCCCUCUAAUAACUUGACGUUUUGCAGCGUUUUAAAAGCUCGACAGGGUUCCUCAUUUUGAAAUAGGGCACGUUUUA